rnacentral:rRNA from 1 species
UACAGAGACUGCAAGCGUUAUUCGGAUUCACUGGGCGUAAAGGGUGCGCAGGCGGUUGGGUGUGUCAGAUGUGAAAAUCCCGAGGCUUAACCUCGGAACUGCGUCUGAAACUACUCGACUAGAGUACUGGAGAGGGAAACGGAAUUCACGGUGUAGCAGUGAAAUGCGUAGAUAUCGUGAGGAACACCAGAGGCGAAGGCGGUUUCCUGGACAGUUACUGACGCUCAGCACGAAAGCAUGGGGAGCAAAAGGG